CUACGGGAUGCUCCAGUGGGGAAUCUUAGACAAUGGGCGCAAGCCUGAUCUAGCCAUGCCGCGUGAGUGACGAAGGCCUUAGGGUCGUAAAGCUCUUUCGCUGGGGAAGAUAAUGACGGUACCCAGUAAAGAAACCCCGGCUAACUCCGUGCCAGCAGCCGCGGUAAUACGGAGGGGGUUAGCGUUGUUCGGAAUUACUGGGCGUAAAGCGCGCGUAGGCGGAUCAGAAAGUUGGGGGUGAAAUCCCAGGGCUCAACCCUGGAACUGCCCUCAAAACUCCUGGUCUUGAGUUCGAGAGAGGUGAGUGGAAUUCCGAGUGUAGAGGUGAAAUUCGUAGAUAUUCGGAGGAACACCAGUGGCGAAGGCGGCUCACUGGCUCGAUACUGACGCUGAGGUGCGAAAGCGUGGGGAGCAAACAGGAUUAGAUACCCCAGUAGUC
rnacentral:rRNA from 1 species